GUUAAGCGACUAAGCGUACACGGUGGAUGCCCUGGCAGUCAGAGGCGAUGAAGGACGUGCUAAUCUGCGAUAAGCGUCGGUAAGGUGAUAUGAACCGUUAUAACCGGCGAUUUCCGAAUGGGGAAACCCAGUGUGAUUCGUCACACUAUCAUUAACUGAAUCCAUAGGUUAAUGAGGCGAACCGGGGGAACUGAAACAUCUAAGUACCCCGAGGAAAAGAAAUCAACCGAGAUUCCCCCAGUAGCGGCGAGCGAACGGGGAGGAGCCCAGAGCCUGAAUCAGUGUGUGUGUUAGUGGAAGCGUCUGGAAAGGCGCGCGAUACAGGGUGACAGCCCCGUACACAAAAAUGCACAUGCUGUGAGCUCGAUGAGUAGGGCGGGACACGUGGUAUCCUGUCUGAAUAUGGGGGGACCAUCCUCCAAGGCUAAAUACUCCUGACUGACCGAUAGUGAACCAGUACCGUGAGGGAAAGGCGAAAAGAACCCCGGCGAGGGGAGUGAAAAAGAACCUGAAACCGUGUACGUACAAGCAGUGGGAGCACAGAGCAAUCUGUGUGACUGCGUACCUUUUGUAUAAUGGGUCAGCGACUUAUAUUCUGUAGCAAGGUUAACCGAAUAGGGGAGCCGAAGGGAAACCGAGUCUUAACUGGGCGUUAAGUUGCAGGGUAUAGACCCGAAACCCGGUGAUCUAGCCAUGGGCAGGUUGAAGGUUGGGUAACACUAACUGGAGGACCGAACCGACUAAUGUUGAAAAAUUAGCGGAUGACUUGUGGCUGGGGGUGAAAGGCCAAUCAAACCGGGAGAUAGCUGGUUCUCCCCGAAAGCUAUUUAGGUAGCGCCUCGUGAAUUCAUCUCCGGGGGUAGAGCACUGUUUCGGCAAGGGGGUCAUCCCGACUUACCAACCCGAUGCAAACUGCGAAUACCGGAGAAUGUUAUCACGGGAGACACACGGCGGGUGCUAACGUCCGUCGUGAAGAGGGAAACAACCCAGACCGCCAGCUAAGGUCCCAAAGUCAUGGUUAAGUGGGAAACGAUGUGGGAAGGCCCAGACAGCCAGGAUGUUGGCUUAGAAGCAGCCAUCAUUUAAAGAAAGCGUAAUAGCUCACUGGUCGAGUCGGCCUGCGCGGAAGAUGUAACGGGGCUAAACCAUGCACCGAAGCUGCGGCAGCGACGCUUAUGCGUUGUUGGGUAGGGGAGCGUUCUGUAAGCCUGCGAAGGUGUGCUGUGAGGCAUGCUGGAGGUAUCAGAAGUGCGAAUGCUGACAUAAGUAACGAUAAAGCGGGUGAAAAGCCCGCUCGCCGGAAGACCAAGGGUUCCUGUCCAACGUUAAUCGGGGCAGGGUGAGUCGACCCCUAAGGCGAGGCCGAAAGGCGUAGUCGAUGGGAAACAGGUUAAUAUUCCUGUACUUGGUGUUACUGCGAAGGGGGGACGGAGAAGGCUAUGUUGGCCGGGCGACGGUUGUCCCGGUUUAAGCGUGUAGGCUGGUUUUCCAGGCAAAUCCGGAAAAUCAAGGCUGAGGCGUGAUGACGAGGCACUACGGUGCUGAAGCAACAAAUGCCCUGCUUCCAGGAAAAGCCUCUAAGCAUCAGGUAACAUCAAAUCGUACCCCAAACCGACACAGGUGGUCAGGUAGAGAAUACCAAGGCGCUUGAGAGAACUCGGGUGAAGGAACUAGGCAAAAUGGUGCCGUAACUUCGGGAGAAGGCACGCUGAUAUGUAGGUGAAGCGACUUGCUCGUGGAGCUGAAAUCAGUCGAAGAUACCAGCUGGCUGCAACUGUUUAUUAAAAACACAGCACUGUGCAAACACGAAAGUGGACGUAUACGGUGUGACGCCUGCCCGGUGCCGGAAGGUUAAUUGAUGGGGUCAGCGCAAGCGAAGCUCUUGAUCGAAGCCCCGGUAAACGGCGGCCGUAACUAUAACGGUCCUAAGGUAGCGAAAUUCCUUGUCGGGUAAGUUCCGACCUGCACGAAUGGCGUAAUGAUGGCCAGGCUGUCUCCACCCGAGACUCAGUGAAAUUGAACUCGCUGUGAAGAUGCAGUGUACCCGCGGCAAGACGGAAAGACCCCGUGAACCUUUACUAUAGCUUGACACUGAACAUUGAGCCUUGAUGUGUAGGAUAGGUGGGAGGCUUUGAAGUGUGGACGCCAGUCUGCAUGGAGCCGACCUUGAAAUACCACCCUUUAAUGUUUGAUGUUCUAACGUGGACCCGUAAUCCGGGUUGCGGACAGUGUCUGGUGGGUAGUUUGACUGGGGCGGUCUCCUCCUAAAGAGUAACGGAGGAGCACGAAGGUUGGCUAAUCCUGGUCGGACAUCAGGAGGUUAGUGCAAUGGCAUAAGCCAGCUUGACUGCGAGCGUGACGGCGCGAGCAGGUGCGAAAGCAGGUCAUAGUGAUCCGGUGGUUCUGAAUGGAAGGGCCAUCGCUCAACGGAUAAAAGGUACUCCGGGGAUAACAGGCUGAUACCGCCCAAGAGUUCAUAUCGACGGCGGUGUUUGGCACCUCGAUGUCGGCUCAUCACAUCCUGGGGCUGAAGUAGGUCCCAAGGGUAUGGCUGUUCGCCAUUUAAAGUGGUACGCGAGCUGGGUUUAGAACGUCGUGAGACAGUUCGGUCCCUAUCUGCCGUGGGCGCUGGAGAACUGAGGGGGGCUGCUCCUAGUACGAGAGGACCGGAGUGGACGCAUCACUGGUGUUCGGGUUGUCAUGCCAAUGGCACUGCCCGGUAGCUAAAUGCGGAAGAGAUAAGUGCUGAAAGCAUCUAAGCACGAAACUUGCCCCGAGAUGAGUUCUCCCUGACUCCUUGAGAGUCCUGAAGGAACGUUGAAGACGACGACGUUGAUAGGCCGGGUGUGUAAGCGCAGCGAUGCGUUGAGCUAACCGGUACUAAUGAACCGUGAGG
rnacentral:rRNA from 1 species